AGUGAACGCUGGCGGUAGGCCUAACACAUGCAAGUCGAACGGCAGCACAGUAAGAGCUUGCUCUUACGGGUGGCGAGUGGCGGACGGGUGAGGAAUACAUCGGAAUCUACUUUUUCGUGGGGGAUAACGUAGGGAAACUUACGCUAAUACCGCAUACGACCUACGGGUGAAAGCAGGGGAUCUUCGGACCUUGCGCGAUUGAAUGAGCCGAUGUCGGAUUAGCUAGUUGGCGGGGUAAAGGCCCACCAAGGCGACGAUCCGUAGCUGGGCUGAGAGGAUGAUCAGCCACACUGGAACUGAGACACGGGCCAGACUCCUACGGGAGGCAGAAGUUGGGAAUAUUUGACAAUGGGCGGAAGCCUGAUUCAGUCAUGCCGCGUGGGUGAAGAAGGGCUUCGGGUUGUAAAACCCUUUUUUUGGGGAAGAAAAGGCGGCGGGUUAAACCCCCACGGUUUGACGGUACCCAAAGAAAAAGCACCGGCUAACUUCGUG
rnacentral:rRNA from 1 species